AACGGUCUAUACCUGCGGUACCUGCGGAGGGAUCAUUAGUGAACGCCCUCACGGGCUUAUAACUAUUCCAAACCUCUGUGGACCGUGCCCUUCGGGGCUAUUUUACAAACAUGGUGUAAUGAACGUCAUAUAUCAUAACAAAACAAAACUUUCAACAAUGGAUCUCU
rnacentral:misc_RNA from 1 species